rnacentral:lncRNA from 1 species
GUUAAGGAAAAAAAUAUGACUUGUCUUAAACUUCCGAGCCCUAAUAAUUACCAUAUGGCUUAUUGUUCGAUGAUCAUCUUUGUCAGAAAAAAUUUUAUUCACUAUUUGCGCUCGUUAUUUUUUCGUAACAUUUUAACUGUUUAGCACCGCCUUUCUCGACCGGUGGGGCGCCCCGUAGGUUGAGAAAGGCUGCGCUAAAGCGUAAAACACGUGUAAUAAUGGUUUUUUUUUUUUAACCAUUGGCCGUCGAUGGCUUUAAAUCUAUUUUUCUCCUUCCUGGAAACGAUUAGGAAAAAGCAAAAUUUGGGGUAUUUCGAGUACUUCGAUGGAAAAGAUGUAUUUAUAAAAAAACUAUAAUAAUAAAAUGGUGGAGUACUCGAUAUCGGGGUAGCGCACUCUUAUAAACUAUUAGGAUGCGUUGUAGGCCUAUUUAUUUUAAUAAGUGUGACCGUCCGGCCACCAAAGCCGUGGAAUGUAGGUUGGCUAAAGUAGGCGGCCGAGCCCAUCGACAACGGCUGCCUUUAUCUAAGACGGAGCUACGUAAUCGAAUACAAACUACUGUAUUACGAAACGUCCCGACUACGGACGGGAAAUACUCGGCUUAUAGCGGAGGCGGCUAGGUUCCGUUUAAUUCGGGACAGCGCGUAUUCGAUCGGGUCCAACACACGCCCGCACCGCCAUCAAAUUUUCGGAAUCGGAUAGGAAAUGGCCCUUCUCCGCCGGUUAAAACCAAAUCCACUUUGGAAUUGGUCCGGAAAAGUAUAAAUAUUUAUCCCUCGUUAAACCGUCUACGUCGAAAUAUUUACCAAGAUCGGUGAUGGCCAACCACCUACCCGCGGGUAACAAAUUACCCGCCAACCCAUUUUCCAAUAUUUAUUCUAAUUUAGCAUUUAGUA